rnacentral:rRNA from 1 species
CAGGACGAACGCUGGCGGCGUGCCUAAUACAUGCAAGUCGAACGGUCUUUCUAUGGAAGCUUGCUUCCACUGAGAAGAUAGUGGCGAACGGGUGAGUAACACGUGGGUAACCUGCCCAUAAGAGGGGGGAUAACAUCCGGAAACGGGUGCUAAUACCGCAUAGUUUUCUUGAUCGCAUGAUCGGGAAAGGAAAGACGGCCUUUGCGCUGUCGCUUAUGGAUGGACCCGCGGCGUAUUAGUUAGUUGGUGAGGUAACGGCUCACCAAGACGAUGAUACGUAGCCGACCUGAGAGGGUGAUCGGCCACAUUGGGACUGAGACACGGCCCAAACUCCUACGGGAGGCAGCAGUAGGGAAUCUUCCGCAAUGGACGAAAGUCUGACGGAGCAACGCCGCGUGAGUGAAGAAAGGUUUUCGGAUCGUAAAACUCUGUUGUCAGAGAAGGACAAGUUGGAGAGUAACUGCUCCAGCCUUGACGGUAUCUGACCAGAAAGCCACGGCUAACUACGUGCCAGCAGCCGC